CCCUUAGAUGUUCUGGGCCGCACGCGCGCUACACUGAUGCAUUCAACGAGCCUAUCCUUGACCGACAGGUCCGGGUAAUCUUUGAAUCUGCAUCGUGACGGGGAUAGAUUAUUGCAAUUAUUAAUCUUCAACGAGGAAUGCCUAGUAGGCGCAAGUCAUCAGCUUGCGUCGAUUACGUCCCUGCCCUUUGUACACACCGCCCGUCGCUCCUACCGAUUGGGUGUGCUGGUGAAAUGUUCGGAUCGGCCGUUUGUCGCGGUUUCCGCGUCAUGUGGCUGAGAAGUUCAUUAAACCCUCCCACCUAGAGGAAGGAGAAGGCGUAACA
rnacentral:rRNA from 1 species